rnacentral:tRNA from 1 species
GCUACUAUGGCUCAGUCGGUAGAGCAACUGAUUCGUAAUCAGUAGGUCAGGGGUUCGAUUCCCCUUAUCGGCU